CUAUCUUCUUCAGAUCAGUUGACAUUGUAGGCAUCCGUCUCCCUCAGAGAAGUCUCUUUUUUGGAUCAGCUGGAAUUGGUAACAUCUGUCUCCUUCAGACAACUAUCUUUGGCUCGGUUGAAGGGCCAGAGAGUGGUAUUCUGCUGCCACAAGAAGGUAAGGUAAGAGGAGAAGAUGGGAGAUAUUCGGAAGCCUUGUUCUUCCCUCUACCCAAUUUUUAAAGAUGCUCCUUGGUUAUUUGUCCUUCAUAAAUCCCAUGCUCCCAGGGAGUGUUCUGGUUAAUUUUCUGAUUUUUUUGGGUUUGUCUCCAUCCAAAUGGCAGGAGAAUUACCACCUCCCCACAAGGAGAAAAAAAACACAGUAGUAUGCUCCCCCUGCCCCCAAUUUCACCACCUGGAAAUAGGAAAUUCUAGGAGCUCAUUUUUCACUCAGCCCUAAAAUACACACCCACCUCUGCAGGGCUCCCAUCUGCACCCUUAAGUACUCCUUUCCUUGGGUGCAUUUCCAGCAUCUUAAAUUAGUUUCCGAAGGGAGGGUGUUCCACUGGGCAGGCACCACCACCAAGAAGGCCCUCUGCCUGGUUCCCUGUAACUUCACUUCUCACAGGGAGGGAACUGCCAGAAGGCCCUCGGAGCUGGACCUCAGUGAACAAUGGGGGUGGAGACGGUCCUUCAGGUAUACUGGACUGGGGCCGUUUUGGGCUUUAAAGGUCAGCACCAACACUUUGAAUUGUGUAGGUCUUUCAGGACUGGUGUUAUAUGGUCUUGGUGGCCACUCCCAGUCACCAGUCUAGCUGCCGCAUUCUGGAUUAGUUGUUGUUUCCAGGUCACCUUCAAAGGCAGUCCCACAUAGAGUGCACUGCAGUAGUCCAAGCGGGAGAUAACCAGAGCAUGCACCACUCUGGUGAGACAGUCCGUGGGCAGGUAGGGUCUCAGCCUGCGUAACAGAUGGAGCUGGUAAACAGCUGCCCUGGACACAUAAUUGACCUGCACCUCCAUGGACAGCUGUGAGUCCAAAAUGACUCCCAGGCUGCUCACCUGCUCCUUCAGGGGUACAGUUACCCCAUUCAGGACCAGGGAGUCCUCCGCACUUGCCCGCUCCCUGUCCUCCAAAAACAGUACUUCUGUCUUGUCAGGAUUCAACCUCAAUCUGGGGUUGAAACAGCAGCAAAGUGGACUCUAGGCAAGCAUUCUUAGAGGGCAAGUCCCACGACUGGGGUGCCACUGCCAAAAAGGCCCUCUGCCUGGUUCCCUGUAACCUCACUUCUCACAGGGAGGAAACUGCCAGUAGGCCCUCAGAGCUGGACCUCAAUGUCUGGGCUGAAAUGAGGAUGGAGACGCUCCUUCAGGUAUACUGGGCCGAGGCUGUUUAGGGCUUUAAAGGUCAGCACCACCACUUUGAAUUGUGUUGCAAAACCUUUGCAGUUCUCACAGAGGCUUUUAAGAAUGUGAUGCUUUUAAUCUUGUGCUGUGUUUCAACAUGGCCGAUUUACACCCUGGAAUUUUUAAGGCUUGCAUUAUGUGUUGCUUGAUAUGAUAAGAUAUAUCGAGAGAGAUUUAUGUCUUUCCUCUCUUUUCUCAUGAUUGCUUUAGCCCUGGUUUAUAACAUUGCAUUGUUUUUCAUUUUGGGUUUUUUUUUUAAAAUUCUUUUAAUACUUUUGGUAUGGCGGCCUAGGGAAAAAUGAAAGUUAUCAGCCACUUAAUAGAGUAGCAUAAAAUAAAUGGCAUCUAGAACUACAUUUAAGAGCAGGUAGUUUAAAAAAAUACGGAGUGAGCCUUCAAGAUACCUUCCUUCACCCCUGUGUUUUCAACAAAAGCGGGGAUGUAUUAUAAUACAGGAAUUAUAUCCCUUUAUAAUUAUAAUUAAAGGAAAAGUUAGGCUUCUUCAUCAAUGCCCUUCUUAAAUUAAACAUGUUCUCUGAUUGCCUCAUCAUGAAAAGGCAAUCAACCUGAGUGGAAGAUUUUUUAAUACCUUCGCUAAACAAAUGGCAGCUCUCCUUAUUCUCCAGCGUAGCUGCAGGUUACCUUACUUAUCAGAUAUAAUCUUCUAAAUCAUAAACUACUUCAUUUGGUUUUUGCCCCCCUUCCCUGCAGAAUACCUUCUGCACAAUGUGAAAUUGUCCUAGGAGGGAUUAAUAAUUAAACUUCAAAUUUAAAGUAGGCUGUCAGAAGAAUGGAAGGAGGGAAAAGGAUGGCGCUAAUGAUUCUAGCUUGGGGGCCUUCUCCGCGACGGAGGCUUUGAUCAGUUUGCGGUGUUGCGGGGGAGCAAGUGGCCUCCUGCAGCCUUGCUCAGGCUGGGCUUCUAAGAGUUAGAGCACAGAUCAACAGUCAUGGGUACUGCUGCCAGUACCUUGCUUAGAUGCUAGAGUCAUCCUUGAGUUUUCAUUUGGAAUGAAAGGUGGGGCACAAAAAUGAAACAAUUCAAAGUUCUGGUUUUGACCUAUAAAGACCUUGAGGACUGCCUCAUUUCAGAUGAACUUACUUGGAUUCUGUUUCAUCUUCUGAGGCCCUUCUUCAUGUGCCUCCUUCACAAGAGGUCUGGAGGGUGGCAACACGAGAACGGGGCCUUCUCUGCAGUGGCUCCCUGUUUGUUGAAUGCUCUCCCCAGGGAAGUUCGCCUGGCGCCUUCAUUAUACACUUUUAGGCUCCUGGCAAAAACAUUCCUCUUUAACCAGGCCUUUGGCUGUUUAAUAUCCAAUUCCCUUUUAAAAUGUGUUGGGAGGGGGUUCUCGGUUUGCUUUUGUUUUAAUUGUGUCGUUUGUGCUUUUAUAUUGUGAUUUUAACUUGUGGACUGCCCUGAGACCUGCGGACAUAGUAAAAGGUAAAGGGACCCCUGAAAAUUAGGUCCAGUCGUGACCGACUCUGGGGUUGCGGCGCUCAUCUCACUUUAUUGGCCGAGGGAGCCAGCGUACAGCUUCCAGGUCAUGUGGCCAGCAUGACUAAGCCACUUCUGGCGAACCAGAGCAGUGCACGGAAACGCUGUUUACCUUCCUGCCGGAGUGGUACCUAUUUAUCUACUUGCACUUUGAUGUGCUUUGAUAUGCGGGCAUAGGGCAAUAUAUAAAUUUAAUAAUAAUAAAUAUAGUUCCUCAAACAAUGGGGAAGGGGCACGAUAUUCCCCAAAACAAGAGUGGGAAACCUCUGGCCCAUAAGCCAAAUUCCAGACCUCUCCAUUUGGCCUACGAAGCUAUUGCACAUCAUAGUGCUUGAAACUGUGAUAUCUGAUUAGGAAGGAUAAAUGUCUGGAUGGCAAUUUGUCCAAUCAUAAGGCCCAGUUAGUGCUUUCUUGGUGCAGCCAGUGUCAGCAGGAUAUUUCUCGUGGAAAGGGUGAUGGGUACUUCAAUGCACUCUGGGCUUUGGAAGUUAAAAGGAAAAUAGUCCCCGGGUCGAUAAAUGAAAAUGAAGGGAUGGCUCCACUGUAAAAGAUGGAAAGUGAUCGCUUUGAUAAAUUGCGGUUGGACCAGCUGGUGGUUAGCAUCCCGAGGUGUGGGGAGGACAGUCAUGGAAAGAUAAAGGACUCAAGGAAGACAUCAGUUUCCCACAGAUAUCCAUAAUUCACGGAACACUGUCAAAUAUCAUGUCAUUGACAGCCCAAAAGGGAUGUGGGAAGGUGACUUCCCUUGUUGUUCUUUAAUGAAAUAUGAGUAGAUCAAAGAGGAGGACCAGAGAGGCUGAAGGAACAGGAUCAGAAGUCCAGCUGACCAAUGGUAAAAGCAACUGUUUCUACCCAGGGGUGCAGCCAAUACUUUCCUUAUCCAAAUUUCUGAUUGGAUGGCUCCAGGAUGCUGGGGACAGGGGCCCUGCUGCAGAAAUAGUAAAGGUAAAAGGGUAAAGGACGCCUGGACGGUUAAGUCCAGUCAAAGGUGACUAUGAGGUGCGGAGCUCAUCUCGCUUUUCAGGCCAAAGGAGCUGGCGUUUGUCCACAGACAGCUUUCCGGAUCAUGUGGCUAGCAUGACUAAACCGCUUCUGGUGCAACAGGACACCGUGACAGAAACCAGAGUGCACAGAAACACCCUUUACCUUCCUGCCAGAGCAGUACCUAUUUAUCUACUUGCACUGGUGUGCUUUCGAACAGUGAGGUUGGCAGGAGCUGGGACAGAGCAAUGGGAGCUCACCUCAUUGGGGAUUCGAGCCACCGACCUUCUGAUCGGCAAGCGCAAGAGGCUUAGUGCAACCCCACUCUACUAAACCACCAGGUGGGUGAAGAGGCGCCAGCUAGCACCUUUCGCAAUGCUUUGUCCAAUGGUCUGUUGGGAUUUUGCCUCACCUGUUAGGGCCUUGACUUCCCCUAAGCCUUAAACUGUAAUGGCAGGGCAGGACAAUUCCCAUAAUUCAUGCCAGAAAUUCUCAAGGGCUUGUCCACACUUCUGUUUGCCCUGUGCCUAGAAACAGUUUUCUGCUUGUCCCAUGAUUUCCAGGCACAGGUCUGAGCACUUUCCCACUUUUCCCUGGGAAAACCCACUCUUUAGAUGUCAUGAAUGAGCCAGCUCCCAGUGACGGUUUGCAGCCAGCUCCCAGUGAAGGUUUGGAACCAGCUGAAGAAAGCGGCCAGGAACAGAAAGGGUUAACUUCCAGGCAGGAUGAGCACCGGCUAGUGCCAACUCCCCCCGCCCCUUGGAAUGCCGGUUGAUAAGGGAAUGGCUGAGAGCGGGCCGGAACCCAGCCAAUGCUCUCGAAAAGUGCAAACUGGUGCAAAGAGAGAAGGAAGCAGUUUGUCAGAACGGGAAAAGAUUGGAGCUGAGCCAAUCCCUCCUAAGAGUAGGCUAAUGGGAGGGCUGUUAGACCAGAAACAAAGCAAGAGGUGCAAAGUGAGAAAGCUCAAUAUCUUCUGUACCCGGAAGGAGUCUUCAGAAGGGUCAUCGUGAUUGAUGAUGCUGGGAGGCUGUGUUAAAGCUGUCCAGAGCUAUCUGUUGUUUUGACAAUAAAUCAUCCUUUUUAAUUAACUACGCUUACUGUGUGGUCAAGCUGUGGACUGGAUUCCUGGCAUUAGAGCUGAAUCAGUGCAGACGUCAGUCCGCAGAAAACUCGACUGACGUUUGCUCCAAUUGAGGAGUAAGAAGUGGGUUUUCCCCGGGAGGAAGCAGUGGGACAAGCUGAAGUCUGGACAAGCCCUUAGUUAAACUGGAAUCCAGGAGUGGAGACACAUUAAUCAGAGGCCACAUCCAAGAAUGGAACCAGGGGAUUCACCUGUGUUUCUGUAUAUGCAGAGCUUUUGCACAUAACAAAAAUAUGCUAGGUACAAAUAAUAUCCCUGUGGGGGAAACCCAUCAAGUCGAGUGCAACUGGUGUAAUACAAUUGAGUUUUGCAUUCUGAGUGUGUGGCUCUGGCAGUUGCUGUACCCUUGGAUCCUGACAAGAUAAUAGCCCACACUUCCAAUGUAAAGGGGUUCCUAUGGCUUAUCCUUUCCCACGAAUCCUUGCCCUGUGUGCAGUCAAUUACUUACCAAGGCUGUGAUCCAAUAUACUUUCCCCUAAGCGCAAGUCCCAUUGAACUAAAUGUGGCUGACAUUUGUCUAGACCAGGGGUAGGCAACCUAAGGCCCGGGGGCCGGAUGUGGCCCAAUCGCCUUCUAAAUCCUGUCCGUGGACGGUCCGGGAAUAGCGUGUUUUUACAUGAGUAGCAUGUGUGCUUUUAUUUAAAAUGCAUCUCUGGGUUAUUUGUGGGGCCUGCCUGGUGGUUUUACAUGAGUAGCAUGUGUGCUUUUAUUUAAAAUGCAUCUCUGGGUUAUUUGUGGGGCACAGGUAUUCGUUCAUUAUUAUUUUUUUCAAAAUAUAGUCCAGCUCCCCACAAGGUCUGAGGGACGGUGGACCGGCCCACAGCUGAAAAGGUUGCUGACCCCUGGUCUAGGCAUACAGAGGAGGAGUUGCAGAAAGCAUCCCAUGUUUCCUUGCCACCGAACAGACCCAGACGCACUGCUGUAGCAGCCGUGUCUUGUCGUGCCCCCCCCCUGAGCAAAGCGACGCCACUUGCGAGAAGCAUUCGUUUCUCAGGCAGAGCACGGCGGAUGACACCAGCACCGCAGUGUACACAUGGAAGCAAUUUGCGAGCAUUAAUUCCACUUGGUUGGAGAGAAUGAUGUAUGUGCCGUUUGUGAGAAGAUGCACAGGGGUUCAUGCUGUGGCAUUCAUUGACUCAUGCAGGCCGAGCUGUUUACAGGGCUUCAUUGUAGACCCGAAGGUGUAAAUAUAUGUCUCUCUCUUUCUCUGCUGUCUCUCCCUCUCCCCUACAAUGAUCACCUCCCUCCCGUAGGCUGACUCGCCAAUCCAAGACUCACUGCCAGUAGCAGCUGUCACAUUGAAUCACUAGAGAUAUUUUAGGAUUUGGCCAUUGAUGAAUGUGUAGGAUGCAGUUGCUCAUGCCUGUGGCAGGAAGGCGAAGGCUGGAGAAACUGCUGCCAUUAAACAUUCCCCCAGCACAUCACUGGGGCCACCAUGGAUAUAUGGCAGCCCAUGUAAAACUCUCUGGUCCUGAAUGGGGUAACUGUGCCCCUGAAGGACCAGGUGCACAGCCUGGGAGUCAUUUUGGACUCACAGCUGUCCAUGGAGGCGCAGGUUAAUUCUGUGUCCAGGGCGGCUGUUUACCAGCUCCAUCUGGUAUGCAGGCUGAGACCCUACCUGCCCGUGGACUGUCUCGCCAGAGUGGUACAUGCUAUGGUUAUCUCCCGCUUGGACUACUGCAAUGCGCUCUACGUAGGGCUACCUUUGAAGGUGACCCAGAAAAUACAACUAAUCCAGAAUGCGGCAGCUAGACUGGUGACUGGGAGUGGUCGCUGAUAACACCAGUAUUGAAAGACCUACAUUGGCUCCCAGUACGUUUCCGAGCACAAUUCAAAGUGUUGGUGCUUACCUUUAAAGCCCUAAAUGGCCUCAGUCCAGUAUACCUGAAGGGGCGUCUCCAUCCCCAUCGUUCUGCCCGGACACUGAGAUCCAGUGCCGAGGGCCUUCUGGUGGUUCCCUUGCUGCGAGAAGCUAAGUUACAGGGAACCAGGCAGAGGGCCUUCUCGGUGGUGGCACGCGCCCUGUGGAACGCCCUCCCACCAGAUGUCAAAGAGAAAAACAAAUACCAGACUUUUAGAAGACAUCUGAAGGCAGCCCUGUUUAGGGAAGCUUUUAAUGUUUUAAUACAGUGGUACCUCUAGAUACGAACGGGAUCCGUUCCAGAGCCCCAUUCGCAUCUAGAAGCAAAUGUAACUAGCGGCAGCACGUCUGUGCACGCGUGCGCCGCUUUUCGCCACUUCUGCGCAUGGGCAUGACGUCAUUGAGUGUCUGCGCAUGCGCAAGCGACAAAACCCGGAAGUAAUGUGCUCAGCCCAAAGCGCAUGCAACUCAAGGUAUGACUGUAGACUAUUGUAUUUUAAUAUUUUGUUGGAAGCCACCUAGAGUGGCUGGGGAAACCCAGGCAGAUGGGCGGGGUAUAAAUAAUAAAUUAUUAUUAUUAUUAUUAUUAUUAUUAUUAUUAUUGAUCAUGAACCAUCAGGAAUGGUUCCACUGUUAGUUCAGGGCUGAAGAACCACAGGUCCAGGAGCUGCCUAGGGUCUUCCAAGCAACUCUGUUUGGCCCCACAGGAGUCUCAUCUGGCCAAACCCCCAACUUUGCACCUCCCUCGAGUGCUUUGGCUGGCUGUGAUAUAUAUCCUUGAAUUCUGAUCAUGCCUCUUCCUGCCUGGUUGGAGGACAGAGUAUUGUGUGUGUGUGUGUCUCAUCACAAUGCAUUCUUGAAUGCCAUUUUCACUGCUAAAUUUAUUUUUAUGGGCUCUUCCCCGUAACGUAUACAUUUAGAGAACCGCGUUGCAAAAUUGCGAGAAGUGCGAAUUUCAAAGAAUGUCUGUGCUUCGGUUCUCAUAUUUUUGCUUGCUUUUGAAUGAGAACUGAAAUGAACUGUUUAACUAUAGUUAAAUAAAAUCUAGCAGGAAUUGAAACGAGUACAGCCCAUGGGAACGGAAGAAGGGGAAGAAAGAAAAAUAAUAAUGACAAAAUGAUACGAUAUUUUAAGCAUUGAAUUGGAAUUAGGAAAUGUAUGUUGCAAUGAGCGAUGAUGAUGAUAAUAAUAAUAAUAAUAAUAAUUUAUUACUUAUACCCCGCCCAAUUGGCCAGGCCUCCCCAGCCACUCUGGCAGCUUCCAACAGGGUAUUAAAAACACAAUAAAAAAAUCAAACAUUAAAAACUUCCCUAAACAGGACUGGCUUCAGCAACAAGUAAGGGAGCAAAAAGAAACAUAAUUGUAGUGGGGUAGAAAGUCAACUUUUAAAAUUGCAUUAAAUUUGAAAUAAUUUGAUGUUAAUUUGUUAAAAGUUUUGAAAAGCAGUAAAAAAUUAUGGGCAAAAAGGAGAGAACUGAAAUGAAUGUCUCCCCUAUCCCCUCCUGUGAGUAAAUAUGGCAGCCUUGGGGCCACUUUUAAGCGUUACCCUGGUUUGCCCCUGAGGGUACAUUGUUGUUGUUGUUUUGUCAUUUAGUUGUGUCUGACUCUUCGUGACCCCAUGGACCAGAGCACGCCAGGCACUCCUGUCUUCCACUGCCUCCCGCAGUUUGGUUAACUCAUGCUGGUAGCUUCGAGAACACUGUCCAACCAUCUCAUCCUCCAUUGUCCUCUUCUCCUUGUGCCCUCCAUCUUUCCCAACAUCAGGGUCUUUUCCAGGGAGUCCUCUCUUCUCAUGAGGUGGCCAAAGUAUUGGAGCCUCAGAAGGAUCUGUCCUUCCAGUGAGCACUCAGGGCUGAUUUUCUUCAGAAUGGAGAGGUUUGUUCUUCUUGCAGUCCGUGGGACUCUCAAGAGUCUCCUCCAGCACCAGAAUUCAAAAGCAUCAAUUCUUCGGCGAUCAGCCUUCUUUAUGGUCCAGCUCUCACUUCCACACAUCACUACUGGGAAAACCAUAGCUUUUACUGUGUGCUAUUUGUGAACUCUAGAGGGAGCUGCAGAAAAUCUCAGCUCACAGGCAAGUGCGUCUUGAAUUGCACACAUGCGUUUGCAACCUGAUGCUGGUCACAUACCACCUUACAUUUCCAGGUGCGCAUUGAAAACAUGCUCAAGUGGACACCUGAAAAUGUAAUGUGUGAAGUUUUGCACAAGGUCACUCUCUACUCAAGCGCUCUGCCAUUUCUAGCAAAACGGAAGGUGCUGGGAUAUGCCUGACCUUUCAGUGUGAAGCCUCUGAGAGCAGGGCAGGAGAGUGCUUGGAGAUUCAGCUGAUUAAGAUGAAAUAUUUUCUGUGGUGGGGGAGAGAGAGAGAAUCAAAGGUUGGCUUGCCUUCAAAUGGCAUUUCAUUGUAAAGGUCCGUUUGGUUUUGACAGAGAAUGGGAGAAAAAGCCCCAGGCAAAGGGGCUGGGAUAAUGUAUUUUCCAAGCCUGCUCUGACAAAGGGGUCGGAGCGCCUGGAUUCCCCUCUGCUGGAAGGUGUGGAGAGAGAAACAGAAGACACCAUGCGCAGAAAAGGGGCCAUCGUCUGCAGGUUUAAUCAGAAGUAAGCCCCACUGAUUCACACUGCUAAGCAAGCGUGCAAACUGCAGGCUUUGUUUUGUGGUUCGAGGACCCGACCCCCGCGAUGUGAAAUAAAUACACAAGGACACGUGAUAUAAGGUUAAUGGGCAAGAAAAGGCCACAACUUUAUUGAUUACAGCAGUGAAAAGGUAUUGGCUUAGGCAUUGGAUGUCUAAAACAAGGGGGUUUAUUCACCAGUAGGUGGAGCCUGUUGAUGCUAAUCCAACUAUAGGCUCUCCCCUGAUGUCACCGGGGGGUCGUGCCAUGGCCUCCCGCCAACCAGGCAUCGGACAGAGUACACGACCGCCAGAUUCCUUUAACGGAAUACCCAAAAAUUGAAGGCAUAGGCGAUGGCCACACCCAGCCCUUCGACACACCACAACACAUUAUUCCAAUGCCUAACCUACCCACCAAUACCACAAAAAGUUGUGACGAUUGCUACGAGGUAGGCGAAAAAACCAAAAGCCUAAUGCCAAAUGGAAAAAUUCCUACCAGGCCCCCUAGACAACCAGGGCGACCAACCUAAGGUCCAUAGCAAGGCCAAAGAACAAAGACCCUGAGCUAAAAGGGAGUGGAGGGUGGGUGACUCACGACGAGAGGACGGAGAAGAAUGAGGCCGAGGAGAGGCUGGCACCGCCGCAAAGGCUGCUGAACACGCCCCUCGAAGGCACCUGGUUGGAUGCCUGCCAAGGGGCGUGGGCGCCAGCCAGGUGAGAGGAGGAGGCAGGGGGCUAAUGCCCCCUGCUAGGGGCGGUGCUCGGGCUCCCGCCCACAACCACUCCCCUCUCUUCCAGGGAGGAGAGUCUUUGCUGAGAAUGGCUGUGCAUGUAAACACAUCUUCUAACUCCAUCGUAUGCAUGUCUGCACAGGUGUACAUCCCAUUGCACUCAACAGACUUUACUCCCAGGUAAGUGAGUCCAGGUUUGUAGCCUUAAAGCACAAAACUAGGCAGAUGAAAGUCCCACUCAGUUCAAAGGGAUUUGCUCCCAGGUAGGGAUGUGGGUGGAGUGGAGGGGGCGGUGGUGGGAAAUUCUAUUCAGUUCACAUUUAAAGGUGGAUCUAUCCCAUUUCCACUUCCUGAAAUGAUACCCAAAUGGAAACACAGUCAUCCUACACAAUUUGCAAUGCAUCCUCUGAAUUUAGCAAUACAGUUUUCCAACCAAGUAAUGUAUACAAGGGAUGCGGGUGACGCUGUGGGUUAAACCACAGAGCCCAGGGCUUGCCAAUCAGAAGGUCGGCGGUUCAAACCCCGCAAUGGGGUGAGCUCCCGUUGCUUGGUCCCUGCUCCUGCCAACCUAGCAGUUUGAAAGCACGUCAAAGUGCAAGUAGAUAAGUAGAUAUUGCUCCGGCAGGAAGGUAAACGGCGUUUCCGUGCACUGCUCUAGUUCGCCAGAAGCGGCUUAGUCAUGUUGGCCACAUGACCCGGAAGCUGUACGCCGGCUCCCUCGGCCAAUAAAGCGAGAUGAGUGCCGCAACCCCAGAGUCAGCCAUGACUGGACCUAAUGGUCAGGGGUCCCUUUACCUUUUAAUGUAUACAAAAAAAAAAAAAGCACACACUAGGUCAAUUGUUUACAAAAAUGCAUACAGUGGAACCUUGGUUCUCGAAUUUAAUCCAUUCCAGAAGUCUGUUCAACUCCCGAAAUGUUCGAAAACCAAGGCACGGCUUCUGAUUACUGUAGGCGCACCAGAAACAAUAGCCAACAGCUGCACCGGACGUUCGGCUUCCAAAAAACAUUUGAAAACCAGAAUACUUACUUCCGGGUUUUCAACGUUUGGGAGCCGAUUUGUUCGUCAACUAAGCCAUUCGAGGAUCAAAGUUCCACUGUAUAUUAGUGAAAAUUACAAAAAUGCAUUACAUAGGGAACAACUGCACAUUCCGGCAUUGUACGGGGUUGCAUUAGAUGACCCUCAUGGUCCCAACUCUACAAUUCUAGGUAGGCACCUCCUGUUUCUUCAACAUUCUUCAAAUGUCAACAUAAUAUCGCCAUCAACAUAUGCAUGAUAUUAAAUACAGAGGACCAGGAGAAGAGUCAUGUUGGAUGUCAACCACGUUUGGUUCAUCUAGACCAGCAACAUGUUUCCAAGAGUGGCCAGCCAGAUGAGGAGGAGGAGUACCAGAAGGAGAACUUGAAAAUAACAACCCUCCCCUCACCCUAACAAGAACAACUGCCUCUGAACCUGGAAGCUCCAUUUAGAUAUCAGGGCUAAUAGCUGUGUUGAUUUAAGGCUCACCCUCCAUGAAUUUGUCUCAUCCCCUUUCUAAGAACACAUAAGGAUAUGGAGUAACUGGUCACAUGUACACGAUACAUCUAAGGCACAUUUAAGGCACAUCCAAAGAACGUGGCUAGCCCCAGAGCAUUCUGGGAACUGUGGUUUGUUAAGGGUGCUGGGAAUUGUAGCUCUGGAAGGGCUAAACUACAAUCCCCAGGAUUGUUUGAGGAAAGCAACGUGCUUUAAAUGUACCGUGCUGGCUGUGAGUUGAAUAUCAAGAGACUCUGACAAGAUGUUGUCAAGCAGAUGCAGUAGAAAAGACACAGCUGUCAAAGGUUCACACCAAUUUGCGUCAGUUUUCCCCGUCGCUUUGAGUGCUGGCAAUAAAAUCUGGAAGUCAAAAAGUCCCCAGGAUGUUUCAUUGAACGCUGAUGCUGCCUCUUGCUUGUCAAGAUGGGGGUUAGAGAGGGGUGUGUGAGUCAGUGAGUAGAAAGACUACUGUAGAAAGGU